GAAGGAGAAGGGAGGAGGGGAUGGAGGGAGGAGAGAACAGGCAGCGUUUUGGUGUAGAAGGAAGAGAAGGAGAAGGGAGGAGGGGAUGGAGGGAGGAGAGAACAGGCAGCGUUUUGGUGUAGAAGGAAGAGAAGGAGAAGGGAGGGAGGAGGGAGGAAGGGAUGGAGGGAGGAGAGAAGGAGAGAACAGGCAGUGUUUUGGUGUAGAAGGAAGAGAAGGAGAAGGGAGGAAGGGAUGGAGGGAGGAGAGAACAGGCAGCGUUUUGGUGUAGAAGGAAGAGAAGGAGAAGGGAGGAGGGAGGAAGGGAUUGAGGGAGGAGAGAAGGAGAGAACAGGCAGCGUUUUGGUGUAGAAGGAAGAGAAGGGAGGAGGGG
ensembl:lncRNA